rnacentral:rRNA from 1 species
UAGUCCUACGGGGGGCAGCAGUGGGGAAUAUUGCACAAUGGGGGAAACCCUGAUGCAGCGACGCCGCGUGAGUGAAGAAGUAUUUCGGUAUGUAAAGCUCUAUCAGCAGGGAAGAAAAUGACGGUACCUGACUAAGAAGCCCCGGCUAACUACGUGCCAGCAGCCGCGGUAAUAAGUAGGGGGCAAGCGUUAUCCGGAUUUACUGGGUGUAAAGGGAGCGUAGACGGUAGAGCAAGUCUGAAGUGAAAGCCGGCGGCUCAA